GAUCAAGUGUCUUAAGGGCAAUUGGUGGAUGCCUUGGCAUGCACAGGCGAUGAAGGACGUGAUACGCUGCGAUAAGCUACGGGGAGGUGCGAAUACCCUUUGAUCCGUAGAUUUCCGAAUGGGGAAACCCACCUUAGAUACUUGGAAAAUCAGAGCAGCAGGGCAACUUGCUGCUGUGGUUUCCAAGUAUCGUUAAAAGGUAUCUUAUCCUGAAUACA
rnacentral:rRNA from 1 species